ensembl:lncRNA
CAGUCCUCAAGCACAAAGAUCUGGACCCCACUGACUUUCAUUGUAUGGACAAAAGCUCUUCGAAAUAUCUUCUUUUGUGUUCCACUGAAGAAACAAAGUCAGGUUUGGAACUACAUGAAGAUGAACUAUGAACAAUUACUUUAAUUACAUUAUUUCUCCACUAAUUUUACCCUGGAUACCUGAUCUUUGCCUGAAAUCUCAUGAUCUCAGAUUCAUUUCUGCACAUGGCACAUCAGGGAAAAUCUCACAGAGAGCUCACAUUCAUCACAACUCGAGCACAUCCUGCCUGGAGUCCGUUUCAGGAAAGAGUGGGUCACCGCAGCAUUAUGUAAUGGGCUCUUUGCUGUCAUGGCAACGCUGUGGGAACUGGAACUGUGUAUUCGUGUGGCAGGAGGCUAUGGCGUGUGUUGACAGAAUGUUCCUCACGUUGGGUUCCUGGAUGGGCCAGGCUAUAAACACUCAGUCAAGGAGUUCCCUCUCUUCUACAGUUCGGGUUUGGAGUUCUGCGCAGGCAAAGGCAGUCUGAAGUUUCCAUCCUUCAGCUUGGAGCAGCACUUUCCUGAACUCCUGCCAGGAAAAUGUGUGUUGGCUUGGCAGCUCGACUGUGGGAAGACUAUGGGCAAAAACUGAUGGAGUUUUGCGGCAAUGGCUUUAUAUAGCCUUACAGCUCCUCGGGACUCCCUCUUUGGUGUAGACAUAGCGAUAGAGGUAUCAGUAGUAGCAAGAGCUGCGAUUACAGGAACAUAAUGAGUGAAAAUCAGAGACGCCACAAUUUAAACAGAAAAUGGCUUAGUAAUAUGUGCGUAUUAUGUUUUAAAAUUACCCCACUGCAUAUAAACUGUAAAUUCUAUCGAGAUUUUUUUAUUUUUUGGUGAUCCACUCAUGUGAGUCCACUUACAUGAGUUUGACCCCUGGGACCAGUGGUCUGUUACCUCCAGAUAAAGCUUUAAUUUCAUGUUCAGCUGCACAAAGAAAACAAAUGCUAUUCCCCGGUCUCUGCUAAUUACUGCUGUCCCAUUUCAGGAAGAAGUUUGUCCCCCUCCUCCUGUUUUCUCUGUUAUCUACUGUACACGACUUCCUGCAUGAGCACUGAAGCAGGCCGAUCCACUCAGAGAGAGAGAAACAGAGAGAGGUUCGGUGAGAGAGACCCUCACAUUAUGAAUGAGAUAAAUUCAUAAGCCGAUAUGCUUUUAUUAAGUCAUUAUACUAAAGAAGUUAUUAAAUUAUUAUCUGGAAAAUAUUAGCUUUUUUAGUUGAUAUUGUUUGCACAAUAUUAUAAUCUUAUAGAUAUCAACCUAUUUAAAAUAGAUUUAGUUUAUUAUUUAUUACUGUUAAAUGCUAGGACUGUCAUUAAAAUAAAGUAAUUGUCAUAAAAUAUUUACUUUAUUACGUUGACAUUGCAUUAUAAGAAUUUUAAAUGUAUAUACUGUCACUAAUGUCAUGAUUUCUUCAAAAGUUUUUCAAAAGCAGAACAAACGGUAAUAUAUAAUUUGUUACAUAUGUAAAAGAAUAAUAAUAAUAAUAAUUAUAACAUAUUUAAUACAUUUUUAAGGUAACUUUGUAUUUUAAGAUUUUAUAUAUAUAUAUAUAUAUAAUAUUUUAUUUUUUUCCUGAAAUUUUCCAUGUACCCUCAAGCAUCUCCAGACCCCAGUUUGAAAACCCCCUGAUACAUACAUUACUGGAAUUUUAUAUAUAUAUAUAUAUAUAUAUAUAUAUAUAUAUAUAUAUACAGUACUUUAUAUUUUGUGAUGUCCAAAGCAUCUGUUCUUAUAACAACACCACAGUAUUCCUAGAAAUGUUAAUCAUUCUACAACAAAUGGAGACCAGAUCCAAAAAACAGAACACCUAAAAAUUUGCAUUUCCAAAUGAAUCACGAAUGAAUGAAUGAAUGACCGUCUUAUGUCUGUCUUGGAAACAAAACCAGUGUCACCACAGUGCUCAGAGUCUUCUUAACAGGUUACAGAUGCAUUAGAGGACUUUCUGGCUUGCGUUUGAAUCGACAUUGGUCACAGGACAUACUUCCUCUGGGAUAUUCAUGAGAAUGAAAUCGAAAGUAUAGUGGCCACCUUUAAACACGUACAGUGUAAUGAUGCCAUAGCAACUGAACCCUCCCUUUUCUCCACAGUAUGAUGAGCAAACAACUGUGGGCUGAACAACCAAUCUAUCAUAGAUUCACUCAGCCAUACCCCUGCUGGAUGGCAGCACAUCCGACCGGAGACGUCUGCAAGCAAAUGAUGAGCAAAUACACAGAUAUUUGGCAACAGCUCUGAGAAACAUUUGUGUUUCAAAGGUGAUGUAUUAUGAAUCUGGGAAGAAACAUAAGCACUUUCAAACUUUGAAAAUUAACAUCAGUACAGAAAGCUGGCAAUGUACCAGUCCCUUUAAGGCAAAUCAGUUACCAUCAGUUAAGGCAAUAGACGUAAAAGUGUAAUUUUUUCUACGUUAAGUCUUAAAAAUGUCAUAAAUAUCAUAAUAUCAUCAUGUCAGCAUCAUAAAUGUAGCUCACAUCAUACUAAAAUAGUGUAUUUUAAAAUAGUGUAUCAGGCUAGCAGUUAAAGCUAAAGCUCAUCCUUUAAAAAGAUCAUUGGCUCUUUAACUAAAAGGCGAGGCUUCCAUUCUUACAGCUACUAUAUUUGUUGUAAUUUUCCCAUUCAUUUUUCUACGAGAGGUCCAUCUCCUCCUUUACAGUGUCUCUGAUCAAGCUAGGAUCCUGAAGUACCCUAAAAACUCCUUACAUGGUUUGGGUGAAAGCUUUAACUCUGCUGAGCUGCUGAUAUGGACAUGCUCCUGCCGUCACUGCAGGAAAAAAAAAAAACCUGAGGACUGUGUGUUUAUAAUUCCAUGGCUGAAAGUCCCUACGGACCUUCAUGUUUUGCUUGCAGAUUUCCCCAUCAAGUUUAAGAGCUCUGGAGACAUUUGGCUAAAAUAAGACUACAACUUAAAAGGUGGAGGGACUUGCAGCGAUCACGCUUUUUUCCAUUAAUUCUUUGAAUAUAUGAAAAUAUGUAGCUUUGCAUAUCCCCAUUAUCUGACUAAUUAAAAUCCUAUAUCAGCCUGAAUAGGACACACACAGUUUAACCCUUUAACAGUAUUUAGUGUCAAAUGACUGUGUAAUCUUUUCAAUUGAAGUUCAUUUUUACAACACGUUUCAGUUAAUUAGGUGCACUGAAAGGUAUUUUUAGCCUUCAUAAGGAGGCAGCCUGAGGCAUGUGCUUCCAUGCCUUUGUACAAGCGGAUGUGAUUUUCUAUUAACUUGUUAAAACACAGCAGUGCCAUUUUAACUACCUGUCCACAACACCUGCAAGCAUUUCCACAACCCAAAUAUGGUCACUGCCAUACUUGGUGUCUACAUAAUGUCAUUAAGCACAUUUGAGCGCAUUACAUUUCAUUGUGCAAUACAAAGGUACACUGUAAUAAAAGUUUUUUUGGGGGGUAACCUAAAAAUAUGCUCCAUAUGGUAACACCUAUGAAACAUUUAUUCAAUAAUAAACCAGUUAAUUAAGAUAUUAAAAAAUAACCUUUAUUUUUAAUUUUUAUUUAUAAUUAAUUAUAAUUUUUAUAAUGACCAAAUAAAUAAAUAUAUAUGAUUAUUUAUUUAAUAAUUUUUUUAAUUAAUUAAUAUUAUUCAUAUCAGUAUUGUCUAUAUACAGUAUAUAUGUGUGUGUGUGUGUGUGUGUGUGUGUGUGUGUGUGUGUGUGUGUGUGUGUGUGUGAGUGUGAGUGUGUGUGUGUGUGACCAAAUUACAAUUACCAUUUAUCUUCAUCACAGUAGCACAUGUGUACAUAAAAGUAUCAUAAAAGAUGUGACUCAUGCCCUAUUGUCUUCUAAAAUGUUUUGUGUAAUAGACAUAGAAAAGAGCAUUACUAGGCUAAAGGACUUAGCAUUAGCAUGGCCUUUGGAUCGCAUUCAAAGACAUAUGCCAGUUUGAGAAUGAACUGCCAACUCCAAAACCUUUUUUAAACGUAGAUAAUAAGCUUUUGCAAGCCAAAAGAAGUAUUAAGAAGAUCACAUUCCUCAAGAUCUCCUGUUGAAAAGUCAGCUUCCUCAUGACCACGCCCUUUGUCUUUUGUCUCCAUGUUGUUUGCGCUGAUAUUGGGAUAGUGAAGAGCAGUGAUCUCUCACACAUCUGUUUUCAAAUACUCAUUACACCCUCAAUCAAGCGAGCAGGGUAAGCGCUGGUCUCAUUAUUGUGUGUUCAUGACCGGAGCUUCCUUUGAACUCCCUGGGACACUCCACCCACCCGUGCACACUCGUUUAAUCCAGGUCACAUUCAUGCUGCGGGAAGUGUGUGGUCCAAUAGCCGCAUAUUCGGUUUCACACACUGUUUUCCAUGAAAAGACAAAGGUUUGAUGACACUGAGCUUGGAAUUCAUCCUGCAGGGUUUACGGUGUCAAAUAGUACAGUGAAGGCCAUACAGUGUACUUAGCCCAGUUUUCCUUAUGUGCUGAUGUCUAUAAUGAUAGAUUGAUGGAUUUAGAGUACACACUCUGCAUAAAUGAGACAAUUAACCUCUCAUCGGGAUCCUAGAGUCUGUGUUUGUGGAGCAAGGUGGAAAGGAGGCAGCAGAGGCCUAAAAUAGCCUCAGCAGAACCGUUUCAACACUGUAGCUUGGAAGGAAAGAGAAGGAAAACUCUGUAUGAGCUGAUAGUGUGGUCAGAAAGAACUGGAGCACGAGAGAGGUGUAAUUAAAGACUUAAUUCAACUUGGGAAUUCCACUUUAGGGGAACCCUAGAUAAGAGUUUGCCUGUUUGACUGCUUUAGAGCCCAUUAGCAAUAUGCUAACAGCCCUCAACUCAUGAUGAAAAUCACUACAGAAAAAAAACAAAAACAAAAGGGCUUUUCUAUCUUAAAUUAUGUUCCCUUCAGCCUACACCCUUCUGGCACAGGAUCAGGGUGAAGUGUUCCUGUAAAACAUUGCUGUUGCUAAGUUUGGGGCUUCCCUCGCUAGCAUGGUUUUUAUCUAAUUCGGGUAGCACAUUCAAUAGUAGUACUCAUAUUCCAGUGUAAACAAGUCUGGAAAACUACUAGAGCAGUGGCGGUUGACACAGUGUUUGCUUUAGACCACAUGGCUACUCCGGCAUCCAUCAGGUGAGCGUUUUCAGUGUCACCUGGUUCAAAUGCCUCACAUUUAAACAUUGCUAACUGACAAAAAUGAUAAAGAAAGAUAUCAUUAUUUGAUGUGUGCACUGUUAGAAUCUAGCAAAUGCAUGUUUUAGGACUGUUUAUGUUUGGUGUUUAUAUAUACUCAACAAAAAUUUUCCUUCUGUAUAUAUAUAUAUAUAUAUAUAUAUAUAUA